rnacentral:lncRNA from 1 species
GCAUUUUUCUGAAUGUUGAAACUAGUCUCUUUGUCCAUGAAUACCGGCACUGACUGAAAGAAUGCUUUGAAGAAAUUCCUCAAAGGUAAAAGAAACAAAAAGAUGAUGAAAGCCAAGAAGACAAAUAUGAACAAAGGCAGCAAAUGUAUAAACAGCUACAGAGGUCUCUGUGAGUUUGGAGGUUCCAUGAAGCACAACGUUUUUAGCCUAGGCCAGAAAAGACAAGUUCUAGUCUCAGAAGAAUAGAAGGGGAAAAGCAAGAAAUGGCAAGAAUAGAGUGUCGUGAAAGAAUGCAUGUCAGAGAAAAC